rnacentral:rRNA from 1 species
GAUGAACGCUGGCGGCGUGCCUAAUACAUGCAAGUCGAGCGAAUGGAUUAAGAGCUUGCUCUUAUGAAGUUAGCGGCGGACGGGUGAGGAACACGUGGGUAACCUGCCCAUAAGACUGGGAUAACUCCGGGAAACCGGGGCUAAUACCGGAUAACAUUUUGAACCGCAUGGUUCGAAAUUGAAAGGCGGCUUCGGCUGUCACUUAUGGAUGGACCCGCGUCGCAUUAGCAAGUUGGUGAGGUAACGGCUCACCAAGGCAACGAUGCGUAGCCGACCUGAGAGGGUGAUCGGCCACACUGGGACUGAGACACGGCCCAGACUCCUACGGGAGGUAGCAGUAGGGAAUCUUCCGCAAUGGACGAAAGUCUGACGGAGCAACGCCGCGUGAGUGAUGAAGGCUUUCGGGUCGUAAAACUCUGUUGUUAGGGAAGAACAAGUGCUAGUUGAAUAAGCUGGCACCUUGACGGUACCUAACCAGAAAGCCACGGUUAACUACGUGCCAGCCGCCGCCGUAA